rnacentral:tRNA from 1 species
GUUUUAAUAAUUUAUAAAAAAUAUUAGUUUUGUAAACUAAAAAAGGAAUUUCCUUAAAACU